UACAGAUACACAAGCAUUCAGACGAUUUAGUAUAUAAUAAGAGAAGAUUGGCAAAGAAAAAAACUAUAUAUUUUAUAAUUAUAGUUUAUAGUCAUUGAUUAAACUGUUCAUCCUUUUAGAUAAAAUUUGCUUUUUCUUUCAUGUAUCUUUUCUUUAAAUUAGGAGGAAGGCAUUUGGUAUUUACUCUAUACAUAAUUUCAAAAGUUUGAAUAGUUUUAAUUUCAUGAAUAAUGGAUUAGACGGGUCCCUAUAGUUAGUUUUUGUAACAAUUCUUAUUGCUUUUUUUUGCAGUAUGUACAUUUGGGGUCAUGGGGUUGCUGGAGCCUGUCCUGGCUGCUGUUGGGCAAAGGCAGGAUACAAAAUCACUGGUGUGCACACCUAGGGACACUCAACCAACGAACCCGUAGAAAAUGUCCUGACUUAUUAAAGUUCGGACGGAACCACACAUGAACUGAAGGUGCUGUUCAACUCAGAUAACUCAAAGAGAUGGAUAUCAGCCUCCCUGAUGGUUAUGGUAUGAAGAAACCACAUCCUGCUCAUCUGCUGCCUGGCACUGAAAGACUAGACACCACGUGUAGGAAGCGAAGUUUUCUGAUGUAACAUUCACACAGUUUAGCGUUGAGCGUAGCCAUCACAAGUUGGUGUGCGAAAUGGAAAAAGACAAGAAAAAAAAUGAUAUUUUUUGUUGUAAUCCAACCAGAUGAAAUGCUCCUGUGAGCAGCAAUUAAAGACAAUGCACCGCAACUUUUUUGUUUGUUAUGCGGUUCUGCUUUCCUUAUUCUGUAUCAUGCAAACAUAUCUGUAUUUACUAAAAGAGAAAUGUCUUGUCAAUGCUAAAAAAAUUGAAGUAAUUGCAGCAGUGUGGUUCCAUGUUGAGUUGUUUUUAUUUAUUUAAUAUUUUAACAGAAAUGUCUUUUGUGUCUCUGAUUUCAAAGCCAAAUUUUGUCAUAUGAAAAGAUGGGCUUUUUUUUUAAUCUGUUCACACAGUAUUCUUUUCUUUUUAACUGCAAAUAUGAACCACUUUUUGUGAGACUCGUGGCUAUUUUGUAAAGUUUUUUCAUGAGUCCAGUUAGAGAAAUGUGCUGCUUCAAUCAGAUCUUUUUACAAAAAGGUUUUCAUGUGCAAUAAAUGCUGCAAUUACAAAAAUGUACAUACUAAGUGCCAAUACGUUAUCUGCUAAAAUGUUUUCAUUUUUUUUUCCAUGUUAAUACAUUUAUUAUACUUCCUAUUUUUCUUCUGUUGGUGUGAAAUUUCAGAUACAAACUGCAGCUUAAACUCUGUGAGAAAAGGGUUUGCAGGUUUAACCACCACCUUCCUGUGAAACUUUGCUUCUACAAGCUGGUUGCACAUAGAGUAACACUUUGCAACACGUAAAAGAACUGACUGAAUACGCAAAAACAAACAACUCCUAUCCUUAUUAGUAACAAGAAAAAAAAAACAAAACAAAAAAA